rnacentral:rRNA from 1 species
AGAUUGAACGCUGGCGGCAGGCCUAACACAUGCAAGUCGAGCGGCAGCACGGGUACUUGUACCUGGUGGCGAGCGGCGGACGGGUGAGUAAUGCCUAGGAAUCUGCCUGGUAGUGGGGGAUAACGCUCGGAAACGGACGCUAAUACCGCAUACGUCCUACGGGAGAAAGCGAGGGGACCUUCGGGCCUUGCGCUAUCAGAUGAGCCUAGGUCGAUUAGCUAGUUGGUGAGGUAAUGGCUCACCAAGGCGACGAUCCGUAACUGGUCUGAGGGGAUGAUCAGUCACACUGGAACUGAGACACGGGUCCAGACUCCGUACGGGAGCAGCAGGUGGGAAUAGUGGACAAGUGGGACAAAGUCCUGAC